rnacentral:rRNA from 1 species
AGUGAACGCUGGCGGCAGGCCUAACACAUGCAAGUCGAACGAAGCCUUCGGGCUUAGUGGCGGACGGGUGAGUAACACGUGGGAACGUACCUUUUGGUUCGGAACAACUCAGGGAAACUUGAGCUAAUACCGGAUGAGCCCUUAGGGGGAAAGAUUUAUCGCCGAAAGAGCGGCCCGCGUUAGAUUAGCUAGUUGGUGAGGUAAAGGCUCACCAAGGCUACGAUCUAUAGCUGGUCUGAGAGGAUGAUCAGCCACACUGGGACUGAGACACGGCCCAGACUCCUACGGGAGGCAGCAGUGGGGAAUCUUGCGCAAUGGGCGAAAGCCUGACGCAGCCAUGCCGCGUGAAUGAUGAAGGUCUUAGGAUUGUAAAAUUCUUUUACCAGGGACGAUAAUGACGGUACCUGGAGAAAAAGCCCCGGCUAACUUCGUGCCAGCCGCCGCCGUAAGAC